GACGAACGCUGGCGGCGUGCUUAACACAUGCAAGUCGAACGGAAAGGCUCCAGCUUGCUGGAGUACUCGAGUGGCGAACGGGUGAGUAACACGUGGGUGAUCUGCCCUGCACUUCGGGAUAAGCCUGGGAAACUGGGUCUAAUACCGGAUAGGACCGCACUUUGGUGUGUGUGGUGGAAAGUUUUUUCUGGUGUGGGAUGAGCUCGCGGCCUAUCAGUUUGUUGGUGGGGUAAUGGCCUACCAAGACGGCGACGGGUAGCCGGCCUGAGAGGGUGGACGGUCACAUUGGGACUGAGAUGCGGCCCAGACUCCUACGGGAGGCAGCAGUGGGGAAGAUUGCACAAGGGGGGAAACCCUGAUGCAGCGACGCCGCGUGGGGGAUGAAGGCCUUCGGGUUGUAAACUCCUUUCGCUAGGGACGAAGCUUUUUGUGACGGUACCUGGAGAAGAAGCACCGGCUAACUACGUG
rnacentral:rRNA from 1 species